rnacentral:ncRNA from 1 species
GACUGCUGUGUUAAUCAGAUGCAGCAGCACGACUUGAUAAGUUCAAGAGAGUCAUGUUCUUUCGGCUAUGCCGUAAAAAUAAAGUACAAAC